rfam:Paenibacillus macerans strain 8244 genomic scaffold scaffold1, whole genome shotgun sequence.
AAAGUUUGACAGACAAUCGCCGGCGGCUUUAAGGCCGCGGGAGGAAAGUCCGGGCUCCACAGGGCAGGGUGCUGGAUAACGUCCAGUCAGCGCGAGCUGAAGGAUAGUGCCACAGAAAUGGACCGCCGAUGGCCGCCGCAAGGCGCGCACAGGCAAGGAUGGAACCGAGGUGUAAGAGACCCCGAGGAACGCUGGCGACUUCGUUCCUGGUAAACCCCACCUGGAGCAAGACCUAAUGGGACGCGGCUUCUUUGGAAGCAGCCUUUGCCCGAGGCGCGUCCGGGUUGGUUGCUGGAGCCGUUCAGUAAUGGACGGCCUAGAUAGAUGAUUGUCGCUCAAGGGCGGGAGGGUAGUUCCCGUUAAUACCGCAAAGAGUACAGAACCCGGCUUACGGCAAACUUUCAAC